UACAGAGGGUGCGAGCGUUGUUCGGAAUUACUGGGCGUAAAGGGCUCGUAGGCGGCCAACUAAGUCAGACGUGAAAUCCCCAGGCUCAACCUGGGAACUGCGUCUGAUACUGGAUGGCUUGAAUUCGGGAGAGGGAUGCAGAAUUCCAGGUGUAGCGGUGAAAUGCGUAGAUAUCUGGAGGAAUACCGGUGGCGAAGGCGGCAUCCUGGACCGACAUUGACGCUGAUGAGCGAAAGCUAGGAGAGCAAACGGG
rnacentral:rRNA from 1 species